rnacentral:tRNA from 1 species
UGCGGGAUUGUUCAGGCUCAUAACCUGAAGGCCAAUGGUUCGAUUCCAUUCCCCGCUA